AGUGGCGAAAGGGUGAGUAAUGGAUAGGUAACGUGCCCUGGGCUUCGGAAUAGCGUCGUUCGCCUUCGGGCGAACUACCGAAAGGGACGGAAAUACCGAAUAAUAUCACUUGUCGGUGGACAUUUGACCAAAGAUUUAUCGGCACAGGAGCGGCCUAUCUCCUAUCAGCUUGUUGGUGAGGUAAUGGCUCACCAAGGCUGCGACGGGUAGCGGGACUGAGAGGUUGACCCGCCACAUCGGGACUGACACACUGCCCGGACCUCCACGGAGGGCUGCAGUAACGAAUCUUGCGCAAUGGGCGAAAGCCUGACGCAGCGACGCCGCGUGCGGGAGGAAGUCCCUCGGGAUGUAAACCGCUGUCAGGGAUAAGAAAAUGCACCUCGGUGCAUUGAUCUAACCCACAGGAAGUCACGGCUAACUUCGUGCCAGCAGCCGCGGUAAGACGAAGGUGGCAAGCGUUGUUCGGUGUUACUGGGCUUAAAGAGUGUGUAGGCGGAAUCGUAAGCGUCUUGUGAAAUCCCUGAGCUUAACUCAGGAAUUGCUUGGCGAACUGCUUUUCUUGAGGCAAGUAGGGGUGCAUGGAACUGUUGGUGGAGCGGUGGAAUGCGUAGAUAUCAACAGGAACGCCAGUGGUGAAAACGGUGCACUGGGCUUGACCUGACGCUGAGACACGAAAGCGUGGGGAGCGAACGGGAUUAGAUACCCCGGUAGUCCACGCCGU
rnacentral:rRNA from 1 species